rnacentral:rRNA from 1 species
GAGUUUGAUCAUGGCUCAGAACGUACGCUGGCGGCACGCCUAACACAUGCAAGUCGAACGAAGUAGCAAUACUUAGUGGCAGACGGGUGAGUAACAUGUAGGUAUCUGCCCUUUGGCCUGGAAUAACACGAGGAAACUUGUGCUAAUACCGGAUAAGUCUUUACGGAGAAAGCUUUAUGCACCAUUGGAUGAGCCUGCACUUGAUUAGUUUGUUGGUGGGGUAAUGGCCUACCAAGACUGUGAUCAAUAGCUGAUUUGAGAGGAUGAUCAGCCACAUUGGGACUGAGACACGGCCCAAACUCCUACGGGAGGCAGCAGUGGGGAAUCUUGCACAAUGGAGGAAACUCUGAUGCAGCGAUGCCGCGUGAGUGAAGAAGGCCCUUGGGUUGUAAAGCUCUUUCGUCGGGGAAGAAAAUGACUGUACCCGAAUAAGAAGGUCCGGCUAACUUCGUGCCAGCAGCCGCGGUAAUACGAAGGGACCUAGCGUAGUUCGGAAUUACUGGGCUUAAAGAGUUCGUAGGUGGUUGAAAAAGUUGGUGGUGAAAUCCCAGAGCUUAACUCUGGAACUGCCAUCAAAACUUUUCAGCUAGAGUAUGAUAGAGGAAAGCAGAAUUUCUAGUGUAGAGGUGAAAUUCGUAGAUAUUAGAAAGAAUACCAAUUGCGAAGGGCAGCUUUCUGGAUCAUUACUGACACUGAGGAACGAAAGCAUGGGUAGCGAAGAGGAUUAGAUACCCUCGUAGUCCAUGCCGUAAACGAUGUGUGUUAGACGUUGGAAAUUUAUUUUCAGUGUCGCAGCGAAAGCGAUAAACACACCGCCUGGGGAGUACGACCGCAAGGUUAAAACUCAAAUGAAUUGACGGGGACCCGCACAAGUAGUGGAGCAUGUGGUUUAAUUCGAAGAUACGCGCAGAACCUUACCAACACUUGACAUGUUCGUCGCGACUUUAAGAGAUUAAAGUUUUCGGUUCGGCCGGACGAAACACAGGUGCUGCAUGGCUGUCGUCAGCUCGUGUCGUGAGAUGUUGGGUUAAGUCCCGCAACGAGCGCAACCCUCACUUUUAGUUGCCAUCAUUAAGUUGGGCACUCUGAAAGAACUGCCAGUGAUAAGCUGGAGGAAGGUGGGGAUGACGUCAAGUCCUCAUGGCCCUUACGUGUUGGGCUACACACGUGCUACAAUGGUAUCUACAACAGGAAGCAAGACGGCGACGUUAAGCAAAUCCUUAAAAGAUACCUCAGUUCGGAUUGCACUCUGCAACUCGAGUGCAUGAAGCUGGAAUUACUAGUAAUCGUGGAUCAGCGUGCCACGGUGAAUGCGUUCCCGGGUCUUGUACACACCGCCCGUCACACCAUGGGAGUUGGUUCUACCUUAAGGCAAGGUUUAAAACCCUUGACCACGGUAUAGUCAGCGACUGGGGUGAAGUCGUAACAAGGUAACC